UUCCAGGGGGCGACCUGCCCGACGAAAACUCUACAACAGACCUGGGAACCCCCUGAGUUAGAGUCUCCGCGCGAUGAAAUUUAUAGAGAUCAGGGUAGCAUCCAGGCUACCAGGCUACCAAUCAGGGUAGCAUCCAGGCUACCAGUUCUUCCACUUUUAUUUUGGGAAUUGUACCGCUGAGGAGUCCGCUGUAGCUCCUAGACUUUUUCAUAGAGUCUAGAGACGUGUUGCCGCCCGUCGGAUCACCACAAUAUGUUUUGUGCCGGAAGUAAAUAGGCAAGGACAGUACUUCUAAAAAUUUGGGCAGAAAACGAGCAGACACGAGGUUGGGGCUGCAGGUGGGUUAAAACCAGCUGCAGGAUGAUGGGACGACGAGGAGCGGAGAUCAGAUUAAGCUACCGGUGGUCGACAAGGCAAGUCCGAGGAAGCGGUCGCCGACGUAGCCAGGAAGCCAUAGUUCCAACAGCCUCUACACAAUUCUCCAACUCCAGAGCUGACGCCACCCCAAGGAAAGCAUGAAGAUGAAAGGCCAAGCCAAGCUGACUCCCAGCCAAGCAGUCAUUUCGCUGCCAGACAGAGAGGAGAAAAGCCACGCCACGGGUCUUUAGCUGGUCUCUGAUGAUCAAUAACACCUGCUGCCAUGAAGUCAACACACUCCCUUUCACUUCGGUCGGGCAAGAGAGAUAAACACGGGCAAGACCGACUCCUCCCGCCGCAACGGACGUCGCUGAGGGCUUGCGCUGGAAGACGAGCUGUAUCACUGUA